GACGAACGCUGGCGGCGUGCUUAACACAUGCAAGUCGAACGGAAAGGCCCUGCUUUUGUGGGGUGCUCGAGUGGCGAACGGGUGAGUAACACGUGAGUAACCUGCCCUUGACUUUGGGAUAACUUCAGGAAACUGGGGCUAAUACCGGAUAGGAGCUCCUGCUGCAUGGUGGGGGUUGGAAAGUUUCGGCGGUUGGGGAUGGACUCGCGGCUUAUCAGCUUGUUGGUGGGGUAGUGGCUUACCAAGGCUUUGACGGGUAGCCGGCCUGAGAGGGUGACCGGCCACAUUGGGACUGAGAUACGGCCCAGACUCCUACGGGAGGCAGCAGUGGGGAAUAUUGCACAAUGGGCGGAAGCCUGAUGCAGCAACGCCGCGUGCGGGAUGACGGCCUUCGGGUUGUAAACCGCUUUCGCCUGUGACGAAGCGUGAGUGACGGUAAUGGGUAAAGAAGCACCGGCUAACUACGUGCCAGCAGCCGCGGUGAUACGUAGGGUGCGAGCGUUGUCCGGAUUUAUUGGGCGUAAAGGGCUCGUAGGUGGUUGAUCGCGUCGGAAGUGUAAUCUUGGGGCUUAACCCUGAGCGUGCUUUCGAUACGGGUUGACUUGAGGAAGGUAGGGGAGAAUGGAAUUCCUGGUGGAGCGGUGGAAUGCGCAGAUAUCAGGAGGAACACCAGUGGCGAAGGCGGUUCUCUGGGCCUUUCCUGACGCUGAGGAGCGAAAGCGUGGGGAGCGAACAGGCUUAGAUACCCCGGUAGUCCACGCUGUAAACGGUGGGUACUAGGUGUGGGGUCCAUUCCACGGGUUCCGUGCCGUAGCUAACGCUUUAAGUACCCCGCCUGGGGAGUACGGCCGCAAGGCUAAAACUCAAAGGAAUUGACGGGGCCCCGCACAAGCGGCGGAGCAUGCGGAUUAAUUCGAUGCAACGCGUAGAACCUUACCUGGGUUUGACAUGGAUCGGGAGUGCUCAGAGAUGGGUGUGCCUCUUUUGGGGUCGGUUCACAGGUGGUGCAUGGCUGUCGUCAGCUCGUGUCGUGAGAUGUUGGGUUAAGUCCCGCAACGAGCGCAACCCUUGUUCACUGUUGCCAGCACGUUAUGGUGGGGACUCAGUGGAGACCGCCGGGGUCAACUCGGGGGAAGGUGGGGAUGACGUCAAGUCAUCAUGCCCCUUAUGUCCAGGGCUUCACGCAUGCUACAAUGGCUGGUACAGAGAGUGGCGAGCCUGUGAGGGUGAGCGAAUCUCGGAAAGCCGGUCUCAGUUCGGAUUGGGGUCUGCAACUCGACCUCAUGAAGUCGGAGUCGCUAGUAAUCGCAGAUCAGCAACGCUGCGGUGAAUACGUUCCCGGG
rnacentral:rRNA from 1 species